CAAUAGCGUAUAUUAAAGUUGUUGCAGUUAAAAAGCUCGUAGUUGGAUUUCUGGUGGGAGCGAUCGGUCUGGCGCUUAGCGCGAGUACUUGCAUCGUCUCCGGCCAUCCUUGGGGAGAGUCUGUCUGGCAUUAAGUUGUCGGGCAGAGGAUCCUCAUCGUUUACUGUGAAAAAAUUAGAGUGUUCAAAGCAGGCUUAUGCCGUUGAAUAUAUUAGCAUGGAAUAAUAAGAUAGGAUUUUGGUACUAUUUUGUUGGUUUGCGCACCAAAGUAAUGAUUAAUAGGGACAGUUGGGGGUAUUCGUAUUCCGUUGUCAGAGGUGAAAUUCUUGGAUUUACGGAAGACGAACUACUGCGAAAGCAUUUACCAAGGAUGUUUUCAUUAA
rnacentral:rRNA from 1 species